UUAAGCGACUAAGCGUACACGGUGGAUGCCCUGGCAGUCAGAGGCGAUGAAGGACGUGCUAAUCUGCGAUAAGCGUCGGUAAGGUGAUAUGAACCGUUAUAACCGGCGAUUUCCGAAUGGGGAAACCCAGUGUGAUUCGUCACACUAUCAUUAACUGAAUCCAUAGGUUAAUGAGGCGAACCGGGGGAACUGAAACAUCUAAGUACCCCGAGGAAAAGAAAUCAACCGAGAUUCCCCCAGUAGCGGCGAGCGAACGGGGAGCAGCCCAGAGCCUGAAUCAGUGUGUGUGUUAGUGGAAGCGUCUGGAAAGGCGCGCGAUACAGGGUGACAGCCCCGUACACAAAAAUGCACAUGCUGUGAGCUCGAUGAGUAGGGCGGGACACGUGGUAUCCUGUCUGAAUAUGGGGGGACCAUCCUCCAAGGCUAAAUACUCCUGACUGACCGAUAGUGAACCAGUACCGUGAGGGAAAGGCGAAAAGAACCCCGGCGAGGGGAGUGAAAAAGAACCUGAAACCGUGUACGUACAAGCAGUGGGAGCACGCUUAGGCGUGUGACUGCGUACCUUUUGUAUAAUGGGUCAGCGACUUAUAUUCUGUAGCAAGGUUAACCGAAUAGGGGAGCCGAAGGGAAACCGAGUCUUAACUGGGCGUUAAGUUGCAGGGUAUAGACCCGAAACCCGGUGAUCUAGCCAUGGGCAGGUUGAAGGUUGGGUAACACUAACUGGAGGACCGAACCGACUAAUGUUGAAAAAUUAGCGGAUGACUUGUGGCUGGGGGUGAAAGGCCAAUCAAACCGGGAGAUAGCUGGUUCUCCCCGAAAGCUAUUUAGGUAGCGCCUCGUGAAUUCAUCUCCGGGGGUAGAGCACUGUUUCGGCAAGGGGGUCAUCCCGACUUACCAACCCGAUGCAAACUGCGAAUACCGGAGAAUGUUAUCACGGGAGACACACGGCGGGUGCUAACGUCCGUCGUGAAGAGGGAAACAACCCAGACCGCCAGCUAAGGUCCCAAAGUCAUGGUUAAGUGGGAAACGAUGUGGGAAGGCCCAGACAGCCAGGAUGUUGGCUUAGAAGCAGCCAUCAUUUAAAGAAAGCGUAAUAGCUCACUGGUCGAGUCGGCCUGCGCGGAAGAUGUAACGGGGCUAAACCAUGCACCGAAGCUGCGGCAGCGACGCUGAUGCGUUGUUGGGUAGGGGAGCGUUCUGUAAGCCUGUGAAGGUGUACUGUGAGGUAUGCUGGAGGUAUCAGAAGUGCGAAUGCUGACAUAAGUAACGAUAAAGCGGGUGAAAAGCCCGCUCGCCGGAAGACCAAGGGUUCCUGUCCAACGUUAAUCGGGGCAGGGUGAGUCGACCCCUAAGGCGAGGCCGAAAGGCGUAGUCGAUGGGAAACAGGUUAAUAUUCCUGUACUUGGUGUUACUGCGAAGGGGGGACGGAGAAGGCUAUGUUGGCCGGGCGACGGUUGUCCCGGUUUAAGCGUGUAGGCUGGUUUUCCAGGCAAAUCCGGAAAAUCAAGGCUGAGGCGUGAUGACGAGGCACUACGGUGCUGAAGCAACAAAUGCCCUGCUUCCAGGAAAAGCCUCUAAGCAUCAGGUAACAUCAAAUCGUACCCCAAACCGACACAGGUGGUCAGGUAGAGAAUACCAAGGCGCUUGAGAGAACUCGGGUGAAGGAACUAGGCAAAAUGGUGCCGUAACUUCGGGAGAAGGCACGCUGAUAUGUAGGUGAAGUCCCUCGCGGAUGGAGCUGAAAUCAGUCGAAGAUACCAGCUGGCUGCAACUGUUUAUUAAAAACACAGCACUGUGCAAACACGAAAGUGGACGUAUACGGUGUGACGCCUGCCCGGUGCCGGAAGGUUAAUUGAUGGGGUUAGCGCAAGCGAAGCUCUUGAUCGAAGCCCCGGUAAACGGCGGCCGUAACUAUAACGGUCCUAAGGUAGCGAAAUUCCUUGUCGGGUAAGUUCCGACCUGCACGAAUGGCGUAAUGAUGGCCAGGCUGUCUCCACCCGAGACUCAGUGAAAUUGAACUCGCUGUGAAGAUGCAGUGUACCCGCGGCAAGACGGAAAGACCCCGUGAACCUUUACUAUAGCUUGACACUGAACAUUGAGCCUUGAUGUGUAG
rnacentral:rRNA from 1 species